UCCCAAACUGGGAUUAGAUACCCCACUAUGCUUAGCCCUAAACUUCAAUAAUUAAAUAACAAAAUUAUUUGCCAGAGGACUACUAGCCACAGCUUAAAACUCAAAGGACUUGGCGGUACUCUAUAUCCACCUAGAGGAGCCUGUUCUAUAAUCGAUAAACCCCGCUACACCUUACCAUUUCUUGCUAAUUCAGCCUAUAUACCGCCAUCUUCAGCAAA
rnacentral:rRNA from 1 species